ACAGAAAAAUUUGUUUUCUUUCCUCCAAAAGCUGAAAAUACUCCAUAGGUAAACCAGAAAGCCAACGAUGUCCAUGCAGUGAAAACAUUUGGAGAUUUAAGCUGAGUCUCCAUGUUUUAAAAACAAAUUAAACAACCCAGGUAUUUUAAAAUUACAAACAGGCCACAUGAAUUCAUUUGUGUUCAGAAAAUAGAUGGCUGACAUUUACAGGGCCGUUAGAAAUCAUUCCCCCAGUGCGCCAGAGUCUCAUAAAUUCUUGUGGUAUCAGAAAGUUCUUCGUUGGUUCGGAGGCCUUCUCUGUUUUGGGUUCUUCUCUUUGCUAUCAUGUUAUAAGAUCACACUGAGGUGAUGUUGGCUCUUUAUACUCUGUAAAUAGAACUUACCAAAGGAAUAUUCCAGUUGCUUUCCCUUCCUGGUAAUGGCAAGGUGACAAUUGUUCCUGACAGUGACAAGAAUGAUGACGGCAGUGAUGGCACCACUGUUGACCAAAUUUGGUCACUGACCUUUAGUUAGGUGGUAUCUUUAUCUAGACCCCUGUCUUGAGUGAUUCCUAGGUUGAUAAGACAAGAUUCAGGACGAUUUGUUCUAAGUCUUAAAAAGAAAGGCAGGAUUUUUUUUUUCUGGUUCUGUAUAUGCUUACCCACUUAGGUCCUGUAUGGUUGCUAAGAAACUAGUGAAAUGCAAAGAACUGCAGCAGAAAAAAGGUGAUGAGGGAGGGCAAGAAUAUUUCUACGUUAUUAACUUUUUUCUUGCUUAGUAUUUUUAUUGCAUUUUUUUGUGGGUAGUAGAACUCUGGGUAGUUUUCCUAAAAAUGGUCAAGACUAGGACACAGAUGUUCUUAAUCCUAACAGCAUGAGACAUCUUUUGAUCUUAAAUUACAGUAUUUUAUUCUUAAUCCAUGAUGGGAAGUGAAAUUCACUCAAGUGCAGUACUUUCAAGUUUUGCAAAUGGCACUGUUUCAAGGUUACAUUUUUGUGCAUUUGGGUGUAUGCAGGUCCCAGGAUUCUACCUAAGUUUUUAUGGCAACAUACCAAAGAAGACUAUUUUGAGAACUAAACAAACCAAGCAGUGGGCAUUUAAUUCAGGCAAAAGAUGAAUUUUAUACUCAUCUUUGAAGCAGAUAGAAGCAGCAAGAGAUGAACUUUGCAGUAAUUCUGUGCAUCCAUUUUAUCAUGAGGUUUUGAUGCUGUGUAGCCACAUAGUAUGUAGUUAAUAAUUCAGUCCUCAGUCUUCUCUGUGGUUUUCAUUGAGUAAAACAUUGUCCUAGCAGGCCAUUCAGCAUACUCAAUCACUCCAUACCUCUUAAGUGUCUUUCUGUGAUUAAUUAAAAAAAAUUUUCCCCCUAGCAAAUGUCUGUUGUUAAGAUAAAUGAAUAGAGCUGUUUGAUUAACUGUAGUUUCAAUAUAGUGCAGGGGAGAGGCAGAGUGAAUGAUACAUUUGGAGAUAGUAUAAGAUUUAAGUUAACCUGGCCACAUAAUUCUGAAAUAGUCUUUGUUUUGGCAGUUAAAAUCCAAAGUGAUCGGUGACCUUCAAAGUUAGUAUAUACAACCCAAAGGUAGAACUGCUAUAUGCAGACCAGAGGCAAAACAGUUUUUACUGAAUUAUUUGGUGUGAUAACUUGAAGCAGUGUUGGAAAUGAUACCCGUGAUGUUACAAUAGCAAGCUGUUGGCUCUUUGGGUUGAAUAGGGUGUCUAUUUCAGUGGCUAAUUUGACUGGGACUUUUUAUUAGCAUGUAGAAUUAAUGUUGUGUGUAAGUGAUGAGUUUGCAGUUUCUUGAUAUUUUCAAAUGGGUUUUAAAAUAAAUUCUUUGAGUUUGUUGUACGGUAGGACCUUGCCACAUAGCUUUAGAGCUGUAUCUUGGAGUGGGACUUUUAGUUCCUUUUUGGUAACUUCCAAGAAGUGAACUAUGUUAAAAUGUUUGUGUUGUGGGUGACUAAAUAGCAAAAGAAUGGUUUUAGAAAGUACUUUUGCUAUAGAAUUCACUUAAUUUGGUUUGUUUGAUCAAGAAAUAGUGGAUAUAGAACCUGUUUUGUUGAUUGACUUCCUGUGGUGUUGGCACUGCUGCUACAUUGCACUUGACCUUUUCAUUCUUCAUUUCUUUAUCUUUCAAAAAAGAGUACAGAGUCUUUUGUCGUAGUUUAUUCGUAUUGUCUUAACAGGAAAGACAUGAUUGAAUGAAGGAGUUCUUCUGGAGAAUGGAAUAGGCAAUUCUAACAGUCUAUACGUAAUACAUCAUCAGAUAAUGCUCUUAAAAAGGGUGUUAGUGAUAUAGUUCAAGUAUCAAACUAAGUAGUAAACUGUUAACAAUAGUUAAUAUUUUGCUGUGACAGAAUGUAAGAAAUUGCAUUAAUACUUGACACUAGAGAUCCAUAGGGAUAAAGCUUAAUUGAUUUGCAAUGUUUAUCAAAAAAAAAAAGGUCACUUGAAUUGGAAGAGGGAAGCAUAUGGACAUGAUAAAUCCCUUAAUUUGACAUUCAAGACCCUCUGUUAUUUCACUCUUAUCUUUCAUCCUCUCCUUGGUUACCCUCUUCACCCUACAUUUAACACAUUCUGUGGUUUAAUUGAAAUGCCUGCCUUGCUCAUUCCUUUUUUUUUUUUUUAAGAUUUAUUUAUUUGAAGGGCAGAGAGAGAGGUCUUCCAUCUGCUGGUUCAGUUUCCAGCGGGCCACAAUGGCCAGAGUUGUGCCAGUCCAAAGCCAGGAGUUUCUUCCGGGUCUCCCACGCGGAUGCAGGGACCCAAGCGCUUGGGCCAUUUUCCUCUGCUAUCCCAGGCCAUAAGCAGAGAGCUGGAUUGGAAGUGGAGCAGCCGGGACUUGAACCGGUGCCCACAUGAGAUGCCAGCACCACCCGCUGUGCACAGUGCUGGCCCCUCCUUCCUCUUUCACUGCUUCCUUUAUUUAUUGAGCACCAAUGACAAUAGUGAUAGAGUGUUGAAUAAAAUGGACAGAAAUCCCUUACUUGGAGGAUAGUGCUGUUGAGAAAAAUAAAGCCGGGGGGCCUAAAUAAGGUUCUAUGGGGAGAGGAGUGUGCUUUUCAAAUAGGCUGGACAGGAAAGCCUAAGACAGUGACAUUUAAGAAAAGACCUAAAGGAGGUGAGGCCUGGGGCGUGUUGAUCUCAGUUGCAUCUGUCUAAAUCAUAAAACCUUCUCUCAACAAUUGCAUAACUUUUUAUACCCUCCACUGCUAUUUCCACCUCAACUACUUAAUUGACUAAAAUGCUACUAAAACUUUCCAGGCUGGUGCUCCUCUCAGCUUUCCAGUUGUAUCUUUCUGGUUUGUGAAUGUGUCCUCUUCUUCCUGUUUGGCCUCUUGGAAAGGGUUCUUAAUUCUUCUUAGGCAGUGUUAGUACUUUUUUUUUUUUUUUUUUUUUUGGACAGGCAGAGUGGACAGUGAGAGAGAGAGACAGAGAAAGGUCUUCCUUUGCCGUUGGUUCACCCUCCAAUGGCCGCCGUUACAGCCGGCGCACCGCGCUGAUCCGAUGGCAGGAGCCAGGAUCCAGGUGCUUUUCCUGGUCUCCCAUGGGGUGCAGGGCCCAAGCACCUGGGCCAUCCUCCACUGCACUCCCUGGCCAUAGCAGAGAGCUAGCCUGGAAGAGGGGCAACCGGGACAGAAUCCGUGCCCCAACCAGGACUAGAACCCUGCGUGCCGGCGCCGCAAGGUGGAGGAUUAGCCUAUUGAGCCACGGCGCCGGCCAGUGUUAGUACUUUUGAUACCACAGAUGUUCAUGUGAGUUUGUUUUGGGAGCACUUUAAAAAUAUUUGGAAUCUGUUGACGUUGAUUUUCUCAAAACAAUAUAUUAAACAUUUGAAAUUCAGUAGUGAUUGAAAUUUUUUUUCUCAUUUCUUUUCAAUUAUUUUUAAAAUGGGCCAUAUACCGAUUGGUUUAAAAAAAUUUUUUUUUGAGGAUUUUAUUUAUUUGAGAGGUGGAGUUACAAAGAGAGAGAAAGAGAAAAAGGUCUUCCAUCCACUGGUUUACUCCCCAAAUGGCUGCAACAGCCAGGGCUGAGCCUGGCUGAAGCCAGGAGCUUCCUCCGGUCUCCCACUUGGGUCAGAGGCCCAAGCAAGCCAUCUUCCACUGCUUUCUCAGGCCAUAAGCAGAGAGCUGGUUCAGAGGAGGAGCAGCUGGUAUGUGCGCCAGCGACACAGAUGGAGGCUUAGCCUACUAAGCCACAGCGUGGCCCUGAAGAAUUUUUUUUGUGAACGUUCUAUCCCGAUCAGAAGAAAAUGAGCCAGUGCAGUGGCAUAGUGGGUAAAACUGCCGUCUGCAGUGCUAGCAUCCCAUGUGAGUACCAGUUUGAGUCCUGGGUGCUCCACUUCUGAUCCAGCUCACUGAUAAUGCCUGGGAAACCCGUGGAAAAUGGCCCAAGUCCUUGGGCCCCUGCACCCGUGUGGGAGACCUGGAAGAAGCUCCUGGUUCCCGGCUUCAGUUUGGCCUAGUUCCGGUUGUUGUGGCCAUUUGGGAAGUGAACCAGCAGAUCUCUCUCUCUCUCUCUCUCUCGAUCUCUCGAUCUCUCUCUCGAUCUCUCUGCUUUUAGUGCCUUUUGUGUGUGUGUGGUUUUUUUUAAUGACUUUAUUUGCCAUCCCAGAAAAUAACCACACCACUUAUUGGUGAUCCUUUGUAUCAUUUUUGUAAAAUUUUAAUUUCCAUUUCUUCUUUAUUUUAAACUUUUUUUUAGAAAUACAAAUUUCAUCUUUAGGAAUAUAGUUAUUCCCACCAUCCACGCCCUCCAUCCACACUCCCACCCUUCCUUCUCGCUCUCCCCUUUUCCUCUCCUCCCAGUCUCAUUCAUUUCUUCUUUUUAAAAAAAUUGUUAAUCUAAAUUUAUUCUUUUAUUGAUCAAAUGUUUUAGUGCCAAGGGAAGAUUGUAAGUUUCUGAGGAUACAUGGAGGAGCAAAAUGUGCUUGUGAUCUCUUGUGUUUGCUUCUUAGGGUCUUGAAUGCCCAUUCCUGUGUAUGGAUAUUUGAGUCACAGUAUCGUUACAGUCUGCCAGUUUAGAGUGAAUCAUGUCUUUUUUCCUUGAUCUAGAGUUUAAUUUUAUUUAUUGUGCUUCCUGUCAGAAGUUAACAGUGUUGUGCAGAGAUUAAUUUUGUGAAUAAAAUUGGAUCCUACCCUGUCUUACCAAAUUUAAAUUAUAGUCGAGCGUUUGUUAGGAAGUGCUUUCUAUUUUUUAUUGGAAAGGUAGGGUGAUAGAGAUCUUCCAUUUGUAGAUUGACUCCUCAAAUAUCUGCAACAGCCGGGGGCCCAGAACUCAAUCUAGUCUCCCAUUUGGGCAACAGAGGGAUAAGUGUUUGAGUCAGAGAAGGGAUGUGGGGAUCCCAAGUGACAGCUUAACCUGCUGUGCCACAGUGCCUAAGCCAAGUACUUACUGAAAAAUUUUUGAGAGGUAGACACAGGGCAAGCCCACGGAUACUUUUAUUCCCCAGUACCUAGGGUUGGGCUGGAAGCCAGGAGCUCAUUUCUGGUGGCAGGGACCCAAUUGCUGAGCCUUCACUACUCCCUCCCAGAGUCUGCAUUGGCAGGUAACUGGACUUAGGAGCCAGGGCUUGGAAUUGAACCCAGGCAUUCUCAUGUGGGACGCCAAGGUCUUAACCUCUAGGCUAAACACUUGCUCUGCAAAAGGUGGGUACUGCUACUGUAUGUACAAAGUUCGAGGGAAGGUAGACAGGCUGUUGAUGCCUGCAGUUACACUGUGGUAGCCUUUUCUUCUACUUGCCUUUGCCUUUGAUUAUGCAGUUGGUUACCUUUUUGCUGACUCAAUGUUUUAAGUCUGUAUACUGCCGUUUAGGGCCUUGUACUUUAAAGGUUGUGUGAGAUUUUUUAUUUAUACAUGUCUUUAAUAGGUAUUCAGCAUCAGCUGGUGCCGUGGCUCACUUGGCUAAUCCUCCGCCUGUGGCGCCGGCACCCUGGGUUCUAGUCCUGGUUGGGGCGCCGGAUUCUGUCCCGGUUGCCCCUCUUCCAGUCCAGCUCUCUGCUGUGGCCAGGGAGUGCAGUGGAGGAUGGCCCAAGUGCUUGGGCCCUGCACCCGCACGGGAGACCAGGAGGAAGCACCUGGCUCCUGGCUUCGGAUUGGCCGGCGCGCUGGCCACUUGAGGGGUGAACCAAUGGAAAAAGGAAGACCUUUCUCUCUCUCACUGUCUAACGCUGCCUGUAAAAAAAAAAAAAAGAAAGAAAAAAGUAUUCAGCAUCAACUA